rnacentral:rRNA from 1 species
UUCGCAAUGCCCGAAAGGGUGAACGAGCGACGCCGCGUGCGGGAUGAAGGGCUUCGGGUUGUAAACCGCUGUCGGGAGUUAAGAAAUGUAAGGAUGUUAAUAGCGUCUUUACUUGACUAAGGCUCCGGAGGAAGCCACGGCUAACUCCGUGCCAGCAGCCGCGGUAAGACGGAGGGGGCGAGCGUUGUUCGGAAUUAUUGGGCGUAAAGAGCACGUAGGCGGCUAUGUAAGUCGGUUGUGAAAGCCUUCCGCUCAACGGAAGAACAGCAUCCGAUACUGCAUGGCUUGAGUGCGGGAGGGGAGAGUGGAACUUCUGGUGGAGCGGUGAAAUGCGUAGAUAUCAGAAGGAACGCCGGCGGCGAAAGCGACUCUCUGGCCCAUAACUGAUGCUGAGUGUGCGAAAGCUAGGGGAGCAAACGGGAUUAGAUACCCCGGUAGUCCUAGCCGUAAACGAUGGGCACUAAGUAGAGGGGUUUU